rnacentral:misc_RNA from 1 species
UCAAACUUGGUCAUUUAGAGGAAGUAAAAGUCGUAACAAGGUUUCCGUAGGUGAACCUGCGGAAGGAUCAUUAGCGAAAUCCAAAUCGGUUGGUGUCACAAUGCUUUCGAAAGAUUGUGCCCUUCCGUCAUCACACACACUUUUGUCGAACUGUCGGAAGAUUGGUUUUGCCUUUCUUCUGUUUUUUUUUUCAUACUCUUGAAGUUUGAGAAUGAAGUCUUGGUGAAAACCAAAAUACAAUUUUCAACAACGGAUCUCUUGGCUCUCGCAUCGAUGAAGAACGCAGC